GGCAGUUGCGUGGAAAUAGCGUGGCCCAAGUGGUCUAAGGCGCUGGAUUUAGGCUCCAGUCUCUCAGGGCGUGGGUUCGAAUCCCACCGCUGCCA